UAUUUCUCCUCAUUUCUUUGACCUUCCUUUUCCUUUAACCUCAUAUAUCACUGACACGUUCACUCGUGAAAAAAAAUAGAAGUAGUCAAACUUUCAUGAAUUCCAAUGCCGACAUGGUAUACAUUCUCCCCUUUAAAGUAUGUCGCAUACAUUUCAAUAAUAAGAACGGUACCAAUUUAACUAGGAAAAGUCCCGGUUUUUCCACACUAUCCAUUAGCUAUACAUCUAUCCAGUCAUUUUUAGAACAAUCUGUUCAUAACACGAAUAACAACAUGGAAUGCCCUAAGAUAUACCACCACAAGUGUUAUAGAUUUGAUAUCAUUCAGUCACAUUUCAUGUCAUCAAAUCAUCUACAGAUUAAUUUCUACCAUUCAAAGGCAAGGCAAUAGUACAAUCGAA
rnacentral:misc_RNA from 1 species